CGGCGACUUAUAGGUAGUGGCAGGUUAAGGUAGUGAAUACCGAAGCCAUAGUGAAAGCGAGCCUGAAUAGGGCGAUUGUCACUAGUUAUAGACCCGAACCCGGAUGAUCUAACCAUGGUCAGGUUGAAGCUUAGGUAAUACUAAGUGGAGGACCGAACCGACUGAUGUUGAAAAAUCAGCGGAUGAAUUGUGGUUAGGGGUGAAAUGCCAAUCGAAUUCGGAGCUAGCUGGUUCUCCCCGAAAUGCGUUUAGGCGCAGCGGUGAAUGUUAUAAUUUAGGGGUAAAGCACUGUUACGUAUGCGGGCUGGUAAUUCGGUACCAAAUCGUUGCAAACUAAGAAUACUAAAUGUACAGUUCACCAGUAAGACUGUGGGGGAUAAGCUCCAUUGUCAAGAGGGAAACAGCCCAGAGCACCAGUUAAGGCCCCCAAAUAAUUGCUAAGUGGUAAAGGAGGUGGGAUUGCAGAAACAAUCAGGAGGUUUGCUUAGAAGCAGCAACCCUUUAAAGAGUGCGUAAUAGCUCACUGAUCGAGUAAACCUGCGCCGAAAAUGAACGGGACUAAGUAAUUUGCCGAAACUGUGCGAUAUAUUAAAAUAUAUCGGUAGGGGAGCGUUCUGUUGUAGGUCGAAGUAUUAGCGUAAGCGGAUAUGGACGAAGCAGAAGUGAGAAUGUCGGCUUGAGUAACGAAAAUAUAGGUGGGAAUCCUAUACCCCGAAAACCCAAGGUUUCCUCCGGAAGGCUCGUCCGCGGAGGGUAAGUCAGGACCUAAGGCGAGGCUGAAAAGCGUAGUCGAUGGACAACGGGUUAAUAUUCCCGUACCAUUUUUUAUGCGAUAUCGAGGGACGGAGAAGGCUAAGCUAGCCGGAUAUUGGUUACCGGUUUAAACGUUCGAGAUGUUGAGAAGCGGAGAAAACGCUUUGAGUUGAGACGUGAGUACGAGACGCUAAGGCGUCGAAGUAGUGUAUGUCAUACUUCCAAGAAAAGCUUGCACUGUCAUUCAUAAAAAAUGCCUGUACCAUAACCGACACAGGUGGGUAGGUAGAGUAUACUAAGGGGCGCGAGAUAACUCUCUCUAAGGAACUCGGCAAAAUAACUCCGUAACUUCGGGAGAAGGAGUGCCUUAUUUAUAUAAGGUUGCAAUAACAAGAUCCAAGCAACUGUUUACCAAAAACACAGGUCUCCGCUAAGUCGCAAGACGAUGUAUGGGGGCUGACGCCUGCCCAGUGCCAGAAGGUUAAAGAAGUUGGUUAGCAAUAGCGAAGCUAGUAACUGAAGCCCUGGUGAACGGCGGCCGUAACAAUAACGGUCCUAAGGUAGCGAAAUUCCUUGUCGGGUAAGUUCCGACCUGCACGAAUGGCGUAACGACUUCCCCACUGUCUCCAGGAUAUGCUCAGCGAAAUUGAAUUCUCCGUGAAGAUGCGGAGUACCCGCGGUUAGACGGAAAGACCCCGUGCACCUUUACUGCAGCUUCAGAGUGGCAUUAGGAAAUUACUGUGUAGCAUAGGUGGGAGGCUUUGAAGCGACGGCGCCAGCUGUCGUGGAGCCAUAGGUGAAAUACCACCCUGUGAUUUUCUGAUGUCUAACCUCGCACCGUUAGCCGGUGUAGGGACCCUCUGUGGCGGGUAGUUUGACUGGGGCGGUCGCCUCCUAAAAAGUAACGGAGGCGUACAAAGGUAAGUUCAAAUUGAAAAUAUCAAUUGUAGAGCGUAAUAGUAUAUUGCUUGCCUGACUGUAAGAUUGACAAAUCAAACAGGGACGAAAGUCGGUUAUAGUGAUCCGGUGAUUCUGUGUGGAAAAGAUCACCGCUCAACGGAUAAAAGGUACGCCGGGGAUAACAGGCUGAUGAUUCCCAAGAGCUCAUAUCGACGGAAUCGUUUGGCACCUCGAUGUCGGCUCAUCGCAUCCUGGGGCGGUAGUACGUCCCAAGGGUUGGGCUGUUCGCCCAUGAAAGCGGUACGCGAGCUGGGUUCAGAACGUCGUGAGACAGUUCGGUCCAUAUCCGGUGUAGGCGUUAGAAUAUUGAGAGGAGCCUUCUUUAGUACGAGAGGACCGAGAAGGACAUACCUCUGGUGUACCAGUUAUCGUGCCAACGGUAAACGCUGGGUAGCUAUGUAUGGAGUGGAUAACCGCUGAAAGCAUCUAAGUGGGAAGCCCACCUCAAGAUGAGUAUUCUCAUCACGUAAGUGAGUAAGGUCACGGUAAGACUAACCGUUUGAUAGGCAUUAAGUAUAAGUGCAGUAAUGUAUGUAGCUGAGAUGUCCUAACAGACCGA
rnacentral:rRNA from 1 species